UACGAAGGGGGCUAGCGUUGCUCGGAAUCACUGGGCGUAAAGCGCACGUAGGCGGCUUUCUAAGUCAGGGGUGAAAUCCUGGAGCUCAACUCCAGAACUGCCUUUGAUACUGGAGAGCUUGAGUCCGGGAGAGGUGAGUGGAACUCCAGUGUAGAGGUGAAAUCGUAGAUAUUCGGAAGAACACCAGUGGCGAAGGCGGCUCACUGGCCCGGUACUGACGCUGAGGGUGCGAA
rnacentral:rRNA from 1 species